GAGCCCGCACAAGCAGUGGAGUAUGUGGUUUAAUUCGACGCAACGCGAAGAACCUUACCAGGGCUUGACAUCCACGGAAGACCGGGUAAAGCCGGUUGUGCCCCUUCGGGGGAACCGUGAGACAGGUGGUGCAUGGUUGUCGUCAGCUCGUGUCGUGAGAUGUUGGGUUAAGUCCCGCAACGAGCGCAACCCUUACGGUUAGUUGCUACGCAAGAGCACUCUAACAGGACUGCCGUUGACAAAACGGAGGAAGGUGGGGAUGACGUCAAAUCAUCAUGCCCUUUACGUUCUGGGCUACACACGUACUACAAUGGCGUAAACAAAAGGAAGCGAAGCGGUGACGCGGAGCAAAUCCCAAAAAGACGCCCCAGUUCAGAUUGCAGGCUGCAACUCGCCUGCAUGAAGUCGGAAUUGCUAGUAAUCGUAAAUCAGCAUGUUACGGUGAAUACGUUCCCGGGCUUU
rnacentral:rRNA from 1 species